GAUGAACGCUGGCGGCGUGCCUAAUACAUGCCAGUCGAACGAAACUUCUUUAUCACCGAGUGCUUGCACUCACCGAUAAAGAGUUGAGUGGCGAACGGGUGAGUAACACGUGGGCAACCUGCCCAAAAGAGGGGGAUAACACUUGGAAACAGGUGCUAAUACCGCAUAACCAUAGUUACCGCAUGGUAACUAUGUAAAAGGUGGCUAUACUACCGCUUUUGGAUGGGCCCGCGGCGCAUUAGCUAGUUGGUAGGGUAAAGGCUUACCAAGGCAAUGAUGCGUAGCCGAAUUGAGAGGGUGAUCGGCCACAUUUGGACUGAGACACGGCCCAAACUCCUACGGGAGGCAGCAGUAGGGAAUCUUCCACAAUGGGCGAAAGCCUGAUGGAGCAACGCCGCGUGGGUGAAGAAGGUCUUCGGAUCGUAAAACCCUGUUGUUAGAGAAGAAAGUGCGUGAGAGUAACUGUUCACGUUUCGACGGUAUCUAACCAGAAAGCCACGGCUAACUACGUG
rnacentral:rRNA from 1 species